GAUGAACGCUAGCGGCAGGCUUAACACAUGCAAGUCGAGGGGUAUUGGUUUUCGGACCAAGAGACCGGCGCACGGGUGCGUAACGCGUAUGCAAUCUACCUUUUGCAGAGGGAUAGCCCCAGAGAAAUUUGGAUUAAUACCUCAUAGUAUAGUACUUUGGCAUCAAGGAACUAUUAAAGUCACAACGGCAAAAGAUGAGCAUGCGUCCCAUUAGCUAGUUGGUAAGGUAACGGCUUACCAAGGCUACGAUGGGGUAGGGUCCUGAGAGG
rnacentral:rRNA from 1 species